rnacentral:rRNA from 1 species
GACGAACGCUGGCGGCGUGCUUAACACAUGCAAGUCGAGCGGUAAGGCCCUUUCGGGGGUACACGAGCGGCGAACGGGUGAGUAACACGUGGGUGACCUGCCCUCAGCUCUGGGAUAAGCCUGGGAAACCGGGUCUAAUACUGGAUAUGACUCCAUGACGCAUGUUGUGGGGUGGAAAGCCUUGUGCGGCUGAGGAUGGGCCCGCGGCCUAUCAGCUUGUUGGUGGGGUGANGGCCUACCAAGGCGACGACGGGUAGCCGGCCUGAGAGGCGACCGGCCACACUGGGACUGAGACACGGCCCAGACUCCUACGGGAGGCAGCAGUGGGGAAUCUUGCGCAAUGGGCGAAAGCCUGACGCAGCGGCGCCGCGUGAGGGAUGACGGCCU